CCUACGGGUGGCAGCAGUGAGGAAUAUUGGUCAAUGGCCGGAAGGCUGAACCAGCCAUGCCGCGUGAAGGUCAGUGCCCUAUGGGCGUUAAACUUCUUUUGUGCGGGAGCAAUAAUGGUCACGUGUGGCCAGACGAGAGUACCGUACGAAUAAGCAUCGCCUAACUCCGUGCCAGCAGCCGCGGUAAUACGGGGGAUGCAAGCGUUAUCCGGAUUGAGUGGGUUUAAAGGGUUCGUAGGCUGUGAGGUAAGUCAGCGGGGAAAUGCCCCCGCUCAACGGGGUGAAGUGCCAUUGAUACUGCCUUGCUGGAAUGCGGAUGCCGUGGGAGGAAUGUGUGGUGUAGCGGUGAAAUGCAUAGAUAUCACACAGAACACCGAUUGCGAAGGCAUCUCACGAAUCCGCGAUUGACGCUGAUGCACGAAAGCGUGGGUAUCAAACAGGAUUAGAUACCCUAGUAGUC
rnacentral:rRNA from 1 species